rnacentral:rRNA from 1 species
GUCGAGAAUAAUUCACAAUGGACGAAAGUCUGAUGGUGCAACGCCGCGUGGAGGAUGAAGGUCUUCGGAUUGUAAACUCCUGUCAUCGGGGAGUAAGACCUGGCGGUAAAUAGCCGACAGGGUUGAUAGUACCCGAAGAGGAAGGGACGGCUAACUUCGUGCCAGCAGCCGCGGUAAUACGAAGGUCCCAAGCGUUGUUCGGAAUCACUGGGCGUAAAGGGAGCGUAGGCGGCGUGGUAAGUCAGAUGUGAAAUCCCGGGGCUCAACCCCGGAACUGCAUCCGAUACGGCCAUGCUUGAGGGUUGGAGAGGUAGCUGGAAUUCUCGGUGUAGCAGUGAAAUGCGUGGAUAUCGAGAGGAACACUCGUGGCGAAGGCGAGCUACUGGACAACAUCUGACGCUGAGGCUCGAAGGCCAGGGGAGCAAAAGGGAUUAGAAACCCGUGUAGUCC